rnacentral:sRNA from 12 species
AAAACUCCCCGAAGUGAUCCAGAUGAUCGUCGUUACUGCUAAUCAGCCCAGAAAAUGCCAACGAUGACAUCUUAGCAC